GAAGCUACCGCGCGGGUGGAGGAAGCUGAGCGGCAGGUGCAGGAGCUGCAGGAAGCUGCUUCAGCCCUGAACGCCGAGCUUCAGCAGAGAGACUCCACCCUGGCACAGCAGGUGCCAAUCAUUUCUAGGGCCUCAGCCUGCUUGCCAGAACCACUUUAACCCCUUGACAUGGGUGUGAUUGACAGGGCUUCAUCACCUACUGUCGUCUCAGCUGUGGUCGUCAAUGUUUCUUGCAGGCAGACCACCUGCAGCAGAAGACAGAAGGGCUGCAGCGGGCAGAGGUCGAGAUUGCGUCCCUGAAGGAGGCAUCAGCAGUGGCUGCUGGAGAGCA
rnacentral:lncRNA from 1 species